rnacentral:tRNA from 2 species
GCCCGGGUAGCUCAGUCGGUAGAGCAGAGGAUUGAAAAUCCUCGUGUCGGUGGUUCGAUUCCGCCCCCGGGCACCA